rnacentral:rRNA from 1 species
AGAGUUUGAUCCUGGCUCAGAACGAACGCUGGCGGCGUGCUUAACACAUGCAAGUCGAACGCGAACGAGUUCUUCGGAACUUUAGUAGAGUGGCGCACGGGUGAGUAACGCGUAAGUAAUCUACCCUGGCAUCUGGAAUAACCCACCGAAAGGUGUGCUAAUACCGGAUACGCUGAUUUAUCAGGAAAGGUGGCCUCUUCAUGAAAGCUACUGUGCUGGGAGGAGCUUGCGUACCAUUAGCUAGUUGGUGGGGUAAUGGCCUACCAAGGCGACGAUGGUUAGCGGGUCUGAGAGGAUGAUCCGCCACACUGGAACUGGAACACGGACCAGACUCCUACGGGAGGCAGCAGUGAGGAAUAUUGCGCAAUGGGGGCAACCCUGACGCAGCAACGCCGCGUGAGUGAUGAAGGCCUUCGGGUCGUAAAGCUCUGUCAGAGGGGAAGAAACGGCGGUGGGUGAAUAGCCUGCCGGCCUGACGGUACCUUCAGAGGAAGCACCGGCUAACUCCGUGCCAGCAGCCGCGGUAAUACGGGGGGUGCGAGCGUUGUUCGGAAUUACUGGGCGUAAAGCGCGCGCAGGCGGCCAAGUAAGUCAGAUGUGAAAGCCCUGGGCUCAACCCAGGAAGUGCAUUUGAAACUACUUGGCUUGAGUACGGUAGAGGGAGGUGGAAUUCUCAGUGUAGAGGUGAAAUUCGUAGAUACUGAGAGGAACACCGGUGGCGAAGGCGGCCUCCUGGACCGAUACUGACGCUGAGGCGCGAAAGCGUGGGGAGCAAACAGGAUUAGAUACCCUGGUAGUCCACGCUGUAAACGAUGAGUACUAGGUGUAGGGGGUACUGACCCCUCCUGUGCCGAAGCUAACGCAUUAAGUACUCCGCCUGGGGAUUACGGCCGCAAGGCUAAAACUCAAAGGAAUUGACGG